GCUGGGUACAUUGGCACAUUCCUGUAAUCCCAGCAGCUUGAGAGGCUGAGGCAGGAGGAUCAUGAGUUCAAAGCCAGCCUCAGCACCUUAGGUAGUCCCUAAGCAACUCAGUGAGACCCUGUCUCUA
rnacentral:sRNA from 1 species